rfam:Pan troglodytes isolate Yerkes chimp pedigree #C0471 (Clint) chromosome 6, whole genome shotgun sequence.
AUCAUCUAGGGAGUUUGUUAAAAUGCAGAUUUUGAUUUAGGACUUCUGGGGUAGGACCUGAGAGUCUGCGUUUAUAACAAACUCACAAGUGAUGUUGA